AGAGUUUGAUCAUGGCUCAGGAUGAACGCUAGCGGCAGGCUUAAUACAUGCAAGUCGAGGGGCAGCACAGGUAGCAAUACUGGGUGGCGACCGGCAAACGGGUGCGGAACACGUACGCAACCUUCCUUUAAGCGGAGAAUAGCCCAGGGAAACUUGGAUUAAUACUCCAUAAGAUUAUGGUGUGGCAUCACACAGUAAUUAAAGCUCCGGCACUUAAAGAUGGGCGUGCGGCUGAUUAGGUAGUUGGCGGGGUAACGGCCCACCAAGCCAACGAUCAGUAACUGGUGUGAGAGCACGACCAGUCACACGGGCACUGAGACACGGGCCCGACUCCUACGGGAGGCAGCAGUAAGGAAUAUUGGUCAAUGGACGCAAGUCUGAACCAGCCAUGCCGCGUGGAGGAUGAAGGCCCUCUGGGUUGUAAACUUCUUUUAUUUGGGAAGAAACCCAUCUUUUCUAAGGUGGUUGACGGUACCAGAUGAAUAAGCACCGGCUAACUCCGUGCCAGCAGCCGCGGUAAUACGGAGGGUGCAAGCGUUAUCCGGAUUCACUGGGUUUAAAGGGUGCGUAGGUGGGCAGGUAAGUCAGUGGUGAAAUCUCCGGGCUUAACCCGGAAACUGCCGUUGAUACUAUCUGUCUUGAAUAUAGUGGAGGUGAGCGGAAUAUGUCAUGUAGCGGUGAAAUGCUUAGAUAUGACAUAGAACACCCAUUGCGAAGGCAGCUCGCUACACUAUCAUUGACACUGAGGCACGAAAGCGUGGGGAUCAAACAGGAUUAGAUACCCUAGUAGUCC
rnacentral:rRNA from 1 species